rnacentral:lncRNA from 1 species
GUGAGGCGCUGUUGCUCUUCUCUCUUCUUUGCCUCCUGAACGGGACGGUUUAGCGUCACCCCCGGCGGCGAUGUAACGGUUCACGGUGAGGUCAGGUGGCGGGGUUGGGAGGGAGUUACGCAACGUAACGAGCGUGACUGCCGGGGUGGUUGCUGAGUUCAAGGUGCUUUCCUCGAAUGAACGAAAGAACGAACAACGUCAUCGCCGUAGACCACUGCGGAGCCUUGACAGGGAGCUCUGGGGCGGAGGAAGGAAGGGAGGAAGGAAAGUAGGAAGAACGUGAUGAUCCAUGGCGCGGAACCUGUAGUGACGAUCCAGGGCACGGAGCCUCCUGAGAUGGUCCACAGUCCGGAACCACCUGAGACAACCCACAGUCCGGAACCUCCAGCGUCGUUCCCCAGUCCGGAACCUCCAGCGACGGUCCGCAGCCCGGAGUCUUCAGCGACGGUCCGCAGCCCGGAGUCUUCAGCGACGGUCCGCAGCCCGGAGUCUUCAGCGACGGUCCGCAGCCCGGAGUCUUCAGCGACGGUCCGCAGCCCGGAGUCUUCAGCGACGGUCCGCAGCCCGGAGUCUUCAGCGGCGGUCUGCAGUCCAUGGGCUCCAGCGGCGGUCUGCAGUCCGGAGUCUCCAGCGGCGAUCUGCAGUGCAGUGCCUCCGGCGCUGAUCCACAUUCCGGUUCCUCCUCCGACAAUCCACAGUCCGGCAAUACAAAAGUGGAGGGAUCAGCGGUCGGAGUGGGGGCUACGCCCCGAACCGGAGCCGCCACCAAGGGUAGAUGCCCA